rnacentral:rRNA from 1 species
AUUGAACGCUGGCGGCAUGCCUUACACAUGCAAGUCGAACGGCAGCACGGGUGCUUGCACCUGGUGGCGAGUGGCGAACGGGUGAGUAAUACAUCGGAACAUGUCCUGUAGUGGGGGAUAGCCCGGCGAAAGCCGGAUUAAUACCGCAUACGAUCUACGGAUGAAAGCGGGGGACCUUCGGGCCUCGCGCUAUAGGGUUGGCCGAUGGCUGAUUAGCUAGUUGGUGGGGUAAAGGCCUACCAAGGCGACGAUCAGUAGCUGGUCUGAGAGGACGACCAGCCACACUGGGACUGAGACACGGCCCAGACUCCUACGGGAGGCAGCAGUGGGGAAUUUUGGACAAAGGGCGAAGGCCUGAUCCAGCAAUGCCGCGUGUGUGAAGAAGGCCUUCGGGUUGUAAAGCACUUUUGUCCGGAAAGAAAUCCUUGGCCCUAAUACGGUCGGGGGAUGACGGUACCGGAAGAAUAAGCACCGGCUAACUACGUG